AAUUGCCUCUUACAAAACUAUGAAGGUUGACUUGCUUGAUAUACAUGACCUUCCUCACCAUGAUAAGCAAAAUAUAUAUUGCCAGUUCCUCUUUCUUGUCAGGCUUUAAAACUCAGCAGGCGUUGUAAUUUAAAACAAGUUGAUCGCAUUGGCUUUAUGUUGUUGCUCAUCAAGAAGUCAAUCCGUCAUCAGCCAUUACACAUCUUGCAGCUUUCAACAGCUUUCAAAUUAUUUGAUUCUUUCAAACCUGCUAUUUUACAUCUCACAGCCCUAUCUUCUCAAAUAUUAACAUGUUC